CGCCAAUGAGUUCACUUUCUUUCUCUCCCCCGCGCUCCCCCUCUCCCCGCCCGCCGGCCCCUCCAGCCUCCUCCAAGGCGGCGGACCAGGCCGGGCCGGAGUUUUCGGGGUUCAGCCCGCGAGCGGGAGGACCGGGGAGGCGAGGGAGGAGGAAGGCGAGAAGGGCCAGAUCGCGGGAGAGCCCAAUCACGGGGCGAGCUGGACCUGGCUGUGAUCAUUUAUAAUCCUUGACUCCUCCGCUCCGCCACUUGUCAAGAUGACAGGUUGGGGAGAAAGCUGAAUGCCUUUGACACUGCCUGUACCACUUUAUCUGCCUUCCUGCCUCUUGAUAACACUGGGAGUACUUGAAGGAACCUCUGGGUGACAAGGAAUACCCUUUGAAGACCACAAGAUCAGAUGACCUACAUGCUCCCUUCCAGCUAUAUGGUAACCUAAGCUGUGGAAAAAAGAGACCAUCUGGAAAGAAUGCUGCGGUUUCACAGAGCCAACAUUAUUCUCUACCUCCCCUUCCUCUUCCUCUUUCUUUAUGGAUGGCAAACAGCGUUCAGAUGACAGAUUUUGGAAAAUUGUCUUAGGAGACGCAUUCUCAGGCAGUUCCAGUGUAUUGGUAUUUUGGAUGUUUCUCUGCAUUUUGUCAUACGGUUCAGAAGGGUGAUAGGCUUUCUGUGAACUGCUGGGCUUCAAGAAGGCUAUUAUCUUCCACUCAGGUUUAAUGGAGGAAUUUAUGGGAUUUUGCCACCUUGUGAGGUUCAGUGCUAGAAUUUCUGCGUUGGAUGGAUCAAGAAUCUACGGGGAGCCAAGUCACUUAAAAGUAUCAGUUAUUCCCAAUAUUCCCUUCAUCUAAUGAAGUUCCUCCAAAUUUCAUGAUCCUUGUGACAAUCCACCCCAGACUAUGGUGAGAGACCCAGAGCUGCAGCAGUUUUGGUUGUGGUUAUUCUGACAUUGACCCGAAGGGAGCAAGAAUGUUUCUCAGGAGCCCUUGCCUGGACUCCCCUUCCAGACCACAACUUCCCCGGUGAUAUGGGACCCUGGAGGAGGAAGUCUACAAUGUGGGAGAGAUGAGUUACCAGGAAGAUAACCUUUGCACUCAGAAGGCUUGCGAACCCCAGAGGAGACUGUCUGUCUGAGAGAUCACCUUACCCACACUGUGGAAUAAAAAUAUUGCCUCUGACAUUAGGGAACUGGCAUUCCCCUCCUCCACUGUUUGAAAAGGUCAGAACUGGUCCUUCAAGCCAAAUAAGUUACUGCUUUUGAGGUGAAGCUGGUAAGACAGAUCUGGGGCCUGCAGGCAAAGUGGGUUCAGUUUCCGUUUGUAGUCAAGGCAACUUCUUCCAAAAGAGGCUUUCAACCUGCCUGGGCUUCUAGGCCCAGUUGAGAUCCAGUGUGACUCACAGGUUAUAACUAGUGGACCUUCCAUCCUCACGGAGCCUUGGCUACACCUACCACUUGGCCUGGGUCAGAAAUAAAACAAAAACUAAAACGAACAAACAAACAAACUUAAAAACAUAAAGGUAGAGAAAGAAAGAAAACCACCUCAGUUUGAAUCUGGGGUUGUCAUGUCUAGCUGUAUGACGUUGAGCAAGUCACUCGACUUCUCUGAGCCUCAGUUUCCACAGAUUAUAGGGCUGAGUGAGAUGAGGUUGUGACGGUGUUUGCACACUACAUUGGACAAGGGGCUGAGCAUCAUCAUAUGGCCAAAAGCCUGACAAACAACACUGGUCCCCACACAAGCAACUCUGGUCCCUCCUGAACCCACACCAAGCCAAGUGUUCUCCCUGUGGCAGAGCACCCGUGCACAAGAGACCUGGGUAGCUGGAAUCAAGCACAGACUUUAAACAGAUCUUCAUGGUCACCUCACCCCUGAUGGUGAGCAUCCACAGGAAAAAGAUUGGUCCCAGGUAAGACAAGAGGGAAGCAAAGUCCUUUAUCUUCUUAGUUCCCCCUAAAAUACCCACCCCAGGUGCCCUGAUUUUGUGAAGAAGAGGCCCUCAAAAGGUGAGUCUUCCCCUAUCUUAGACCCAGGGGUCUAGGCCUCUCUUGUGGUUCUCUCUCUCUUUUAUUGCUUUCACAUUUAUAUGACAACUUGUCCUCUCAAAACUUCAUUUCUUAUUUAGUAAAACAUCCUUAAUGCAGCCUUCCAGAACUGUCUCUUCAUUUUUCCAAAUGAUCCAUUCCCCUAAUUAGAUUAAUUAAUCUAUGCUAAUGCUAAGGAAAGAGUCACAUUCACCGUGAUACACUAGAAACAGGAUGGGCUUCAAAUGCAGAAAAUCCUAGGUUCAAAUCCUAUUUCUGCUUCUUAGGAGCUGUGAGACUUUUAACUUACUUAAUUUACAUACAUUUACUUAUGUAACAGGCAAUAAUGUAGCGUUUGCUGUGCGCUGUGUUCUGUUCAAGAAACUUUAACGGUGGUUCUUUUUAAGAAGAGUUUUAAUUCAUCUAAUCCUUUUAACGAUCCUAUGGGGGUAGGUACUAUUGUAUUUCACAGUUGAGGAAACCAAAACACAGAGAGGCAAAGUACUUUGCAUGAUAUUUCAGAGCUAGGGAGGAGGCAAAAUGGGGAUUUGAAGCUGGGCGGUCCAGCUCAUGCUGCUAAGUACAACGCCACGCUGUCUCUUAGCUCGAGCUGGCUCAACUAAGCAAAGGAGGGGUGCAUUCUCUUUGCAGUGUUGCUGGAAUUAGAGAUGAUGUGUAUGUCACAUAGCACAGGGCCUGUUCUCUACUCAGCUCUCAAUAGUGGCAAAUUAUAUCUCCCUUGAGUUUUCUCUUAUUCUUUCCGUCACUCUGAAUCACAUUUGUCGGUUCCUUCUUUUCUCCCCUGAUUUAACUCUGGAGUAUCAAAGGGCUUGGUUUGUAGCUCCAUCUUCUCCAGGUCGUGAAUUUAAAUACUAUUCAUUUCUAUCCGGACAACUCCCAAAUUCAUAUCUUUAGCUCAGAUCUGAUCUGUCUCCUGAACAUUAAUUUGUGUCUGUAUAAUUGCCUACUUGACAUUCCCACUUGGUUUCUAAUAAAUAUCUCAAAUGGACUAUAUCCAAACCUGUGAACACUCACAGCCUUCCACAUCUCAGUUGACAGCAACUCCAUCCUUUCAGUUGUUCAGUGCAAAAUUCUUUAAUACAUUCUCUGUUACAGGUAGGAUUGCAUCCUGCAAGAAGAUGCUGAAGUCCUACCCCCUAGUACCUGUGAAUGUGAGAUCGGGUCUCAUAUUCACAAAAUGUGGUACAGAGACACAAUGAAAUACUAAGCAACCGGCUGGGCAUGGCGGCCCAUGCCCAUAACCCCAGCACUUUGGGAGGCUGAGGAGGCAGAUCACCUGACGUCAGGAGUUGGAGACUAGCUUGGCCAACGUGGCAAAACCCCACCUCUACUAAAAAUACAAAAACUAGCCGGGCAUGGUGGUGCUUGCCUGUAAUCACAGCUACUCGGGAGGCUGAGGCACAAGAAUGGCUUGAACCUGGGAGGUGGAGUUUGCAGUGAGCCAAGAUUGUGCCACUGUGCUUCAGCCUGGGCAACAGAGUGAGACCCUGUCUCAAAAAACAAUGGUCAUAUUAAAAUGAGGUCAUUAGGGUAGGCCUAAUCCCAAUAUGACUGAUGUCCUUAUAAAAAGGGAAUUCUACACACAGACAGGCAAACAGAGAGAGAAGACAUUGUGAACACACAGGGAGAAUGCCGGCUACAAGCAAAGGAAUGCCUGAGCCUACUAGAAGCAAGGAGAGUAGCCGUCAGAAGAAACCAACCUUGCUGACACCUUGAUUUUCGACUUGUAGCCACUAGAACUGUCAGACAAUAAUUUUCUAUCAUGUAGGCCACCCAGUUUGUGGUACUUUGUUAUGGCAGACCAAGGAAACACAUGUAUCCUCCAUUUCUGUCUUACAUUCCAUAUGCAGUCUUUUAGCCUUUCUUGUUGGUUCCGGCUUCCAUAUUUAUCCACAAGUGUCUGCUCACCCCCUCCUCUGCUACCACUGCGCACUGUGCCUGAGUCCCUCCAUCUCUCACCUGGCUCCCUGCAGUAGCUGCCUAACCAGUCCCCCUGCUUGUACCUUGGUCUCCUCACAACCUACUUCCAACAUGGUAGCCAGAGUGGUGCUCUUAAAACAGUAGUAACUGCACUCAGAUGUUUAUCGCAGCACUAUUCAAAACAGCAAAGUCAUGGAACCAACCUAAGUGUCCACCAACAGUUAACUGGAUAAACAAAAUGUGGCACAUAGACACAGUGAAAUACUAAGCAAUCGGCCGGGCAUGGUGGCUCAUGUAUGUAAUCCCAGUACUUUAGGGGGCUGAGGAGGGCAGAUCACCUGAGGUCAGGAGUUGGAGAACAGCUUGGCCAACAUGGCGAAACCCUGUCUCUACUGAAAAUACAAAAAUUAGCCAGGCUUGGUGGUGCUUGCCUGUAAUCGCAGCUACUCGGGAGGCUGAGGCACGAGAAUAGCUUGAACCUGGGAGGUGGAGGUUGUAGUGAGCUAAGAUUGUGCCACUGCACUCCAGCCUGGGCAACAGAGUGAGACCCUGUUUCAAAAAAAAAAAAAAAAAAAAGAGCUACUCCACAACCAUAAAGCGAAUGAAUCAUGUCCUUUGCGGCAACAUGGAUAGAACUGGAGGCCAUAAUCUUAAGUGAACUAACUCAUCAGCAGAAGAUCAAAUAUCACAUGUUCUUACACAUAAGUGGGAACUCAACAGGACAUAAAGAUGGAACUAAUAGACACCGGGAACUCCAAAAGCAGGGAGGAUGGGAAGGGAGUGAGGUUUGAAAAAUUACCUAUCGGUUACAAUGUUCAAUAUUUGGGUGAUGGGUACACUUGAAGCCAAUUACACUCUCCACCAUUACAUAUGUAAUACCCAUGGAACAAACAAGCACAUCUACCUCCUGAAUCUAUAAUUUUAAAGAAAGAGGGUGGGGGAAGAAGUAAGAUCAUAUCAGUUCUGCUCAGUGUUUGUCACUGGUAGUAAAUGUAUUCCACUUAGAGUGAAAAGCCAAAGCCUUUACAUAGCCAAGGAGCCUCGAUGGUCUGACUUUGAACCCGUUAUUCCACUGACCACGUUGCUGCUUCCCUCUUGCUCAUUCAGCUUGUGCCACAUUGAUUCUUUUUUUGUUUGUUUGUUUGAGAUGGAGUCUCGCUCUGUUGCCCAGGCUGGAGUGCAGUAGCGCAAUCUCGGCUCACUGCAACCUCCUCCUCCUGGGUUCAAGCGAUUCUCCUGCCUCAGCCUCCUGAGUAGCUGGGAUUACAGGCAUGCACCAGCAUGCCUGACUAAUUUUUGUAUUUUUAGUAGAGAUGGGGUUUCACCAUGUUGGUCAGGCUAGUCUCGGACUCCUGACCUCAAAUGAUCCACCCGCCUUGGCAUCCCAAAGUGCUGGGAUUACAGGUGUCAGCCACUGCACCUGGCCGGCAUUGAUUCAUUUUUGCUAUUUGACCAUACCAGGCACUCUUGCCUUACGGCUAUCAUGAGAACACAGCUCAUAGCUCCCAGCUGUGUGCUACCCAUGCCAAGAUUAUGCUCCUACCCAGCCAAUGACUGAGACAAGCCAUUUCUUCCGCAUGCAGGACUCCUUGAAUGAGCAGUCUCUACUGAGUGGCUCCCCACUGGUCUGUCUGAGGCCAUCUCAGAGCUGCAGUACAGUCUGAGGCUCUUGCUGACCAAGCUUCCUUCCUUCCCUCUCUCCUUUCACAGGGAGUAGGCCGGCAUUAUGGUUUGCAGGCUCUCCCAGCCUACCCCUGCCGGUGUCCCCUUUAUUUGACAUGGGCAUUGCCCUCUAUGUUGUUGCUGUUUUCUCCAAAUGCUUCUUCUCCAGUUAUCUCCUGGGAUAACUCUACUUCUCCUUCAAGCCUUUGCUUAAACAUCAUCUUCCUAGUGAGACCUACCCUGAGCUCCAUUGACUGUAUUCUACUUAUUUUAUUCAUAUUUAUUUUUAGCUCUAGGGCCUGGCUCUGUCACCCAGGCUGGAGUGCAGUGGCACAGUCAUGGCUCAGUUCAGCUUUCAACUCCUGGGCUCAAGCAAUCCUCUUGCCUCAGCUUCCUGAGUAGCUUGGAUUACAGGCAUGCAUUACUGUGCCCAGCUAAAUAGUCUUAUUUAUUUUUUUUCUUGUAGAGACAGGGCCUCACUAUGUUUCCCAGGCUAGUCUCAAACUACUAUGUUUCCCAGGCUAGUCUCAAACUCCCAGCCUCAAGCGAUCCUCCUGCUUCAAUCUCCCAAAGCUGGGAUUGCAGGCCUGAGGCCCAGCCAUUUAAAACAGCAUUCCGUCUCCGUUUUCUCUGCUCUGGUUCUUUUGCUCAGGGUCCUUUUUUUCUGCUUGUCAGUUUCUAACUUGUUAUAAUUUACUUAGUUGUCAUGCUUACUGUUUGUUUUCUAUCCACCCUAG
rnacentral:lncRNA from 10 species